rnacentral:tRNA from 1 species
AGUCCCGAGGUGUUUAACAUAUCAGAUUGCAAAUCUGAAGAGGAAGAAUAGACUCUUCCGGGACUU